AGAGUUUGAUCCUGGCUCAGAUUGAACGCUGGCGGCAUGCCUUACACAUGCAAGUCGAACGGCAGCACGGGGGCAACCCUGGUGGCGAGUGGCGAACGGGUGAGUAAUACAUCGGAACGUGUCCUGUAGUGGGGGAUAGCCCGGCGAAAGCCGGAUUAAUACCGCAUACGAUCUGUGGAUGAAAGACGGGGGAUCCUUCGGGACCUCGCGCUACAGGGGCGGCCGAUGGCAGAUUAGCUAGUUGGUGGGGUAAAGGCCUACCAAGGCGACGAUCUGUAGACUGGUCUGAGAGGACGACCAGCCACACUGGGACUGAGACACGGCCCAGACUCCUACGGGAGGCAGCAGUGGGGAAUUUUGGACAAUGGGCGAAAGCCUGAUCCAGCAAUGCCGCGUGUGUGAAGAAGGCCUUCGGGUUGUAAAGCACUUUUGUCCGGAAAGAAAACCUCGUGGUUAAUACCCGUGGGGGAUGACGGUACCGGAAGAAUAAGCACCGGCUAACUACGUGCCAGCAGCCGCGGUAAUACGUAGGGUGCAAGCGUUAAUCGGAAUUACUGGGCGUAAAGCGUGCGCAGGCGGUUCGCUAAGACAGAUGUGAAAUCCCCGGGCUUAACCUGGGAACUGCAUUUGUGACUGGCGGGCUAGAGUAUGGCAGAGGGGGGUAGAAUUCCACGUGUAGCAGUGAAAUGCGUAGAGAUGUGGAGGAAUACCGAUGGCGAAGGCAGCCCCCUGGGCCAAUACUGACGCUCAUGCACGAAAGCGUGGGGAGCAAACAGGAUUAGAUACCCUGGUAGUCCACGCCCUAAACGAUGUCAACUAGUUGUUGGGGAUUCAUUUCCUUAGUAACGUAGCUAACGCGUGAAGUUGACCGCCUGGGGAGUACGGUCGCAAGAUUAAAACUCAAAGGAAUUGACGG
rnacentral:rRNA from 1 species